rnacentral:rRNA from 1 species
GAACGCUGGCGGCAUGCCUUACACAUGCAAGUCGAACGGCAGCACGGGAGCAAUCCUGGUGGCGAGUGGCGAACGGGUGAGUAAUAUAUCGGAACGUGCCCAGUCGUGGGGGAUAACGCAGCGAAAGUUGUGCUAAUACCGCAUACGAUCUACGGAUGAAAGCGGGGGACUCGCAAGGGCCUCGCGCGAAUGGAGCGGCCGAUAUCAGAUUAGCUAGUUGGUGGGGUAAAGGCUCACCAAGGCGACGAUCUGUAGCUGGUCUGAGAGGACGACCAGCCACACUGGAACUGAGACACGGUCCAGACUCCUACGGGAGGCAGCAGUGGGGAAUUUUGGACAAUGGGCGCAAGCCUGAUCCAGCAAUGCCGCGUGCAGGAUGAAGGCCUUCGGGUUGUAAACUGCUUUUGUACGGAGCGAAACGGUCUUCUCUAAUAAAGGGGGCUAAUGACGGUACCGUAAGAAUAAGCACCGGCUAACUACGU